AAGAAAGAAGCAUAUGUGGUUUAAUGCAGUUGGCUUGAAACCAGCGUAUGAGGGUUCAAUUCCUUCCUUUCUUG
rnacentral:tRNA from 1 species